UGCCUCAUUGACCUGAAGGGAUUCCUUCCAGUCAAUGAGGUUGUUACACCUCAUUGAUCGGAAGGAUUUCCUUCUGGUCAAUGAGAAA
rnacentral:miRNA from 1 species